rnacentral:rRNA from 1 species
CGCUGGCGGCGUGCCUAAUACAUGCAAGUCGAGCGGAACUUAGAAAGCUUGCUUUCUAAGUUUAGCGGCGGACGGGUGAGUAACACGUGGGCAACCUGCCUAUAAGACUGGGAUAACUUCGGGAAACCGGAGCUAAUACCGGAUAAUAUAAAAGAUCACAUGGUCUUUUAUUGAAAGAUGGCUUCGGCUAUCACUUAUAGAUGGGCCCGCGGCGCAUUAGCUAGUUGGUGAGGUAAUGGCUCACCAAGGCGACGAUGCGUAGCCGACCUGAGAGGGUGAUCGGCCACACUGGGACUGAGACACGGCCCCAGACUCCUACGGGAGGCAGCAGUAGGGAAUCUUCCGCAAUGGACGAAAGUCUGACGGAGCAACGCCGCGUGAGCGAUGAAGGCCUUCGGGUCGUAAAGCUCUGUUGUUAGGGAAGAACAAGUAUCGUUCGAAUAGGGCGGUACCUUGACGGUACCUAACCAGAAAGCCACGGCUAACUACGUG